rnacentral:lncRNA from 1 species
GAAGCUUGAUCAGAGGCGUUGAAAUGUUACUUGAUGUGGUUAAUCCCUUUAAAAAGAUAUAUGAAAUCCAUUCGCUUCAAGAGGAAUUAGUUUUUGCAUCCUAGUUGUUUGUGAAGAUUUUUUUAUUUAAAUCUUCACAUGAUGAAAAGAAGAUAAAUUUCUCUGAGUCUAAAAGUGACAUAUCAGAGUCUCCUCGAUCCAUGUGUAAACUAACCUCAGAGUCUGAUAGUGACCUAUCCGAGUCUUCUUGAUCCUUGCGUUGACUGACAUGAGAGUCUGAGCCUUCAGAUUCUCAGGUUGUGAUCCUUUUGAGUCAGAGUCUUCAAAGAUUCACUUUCUUCAGAGUCUAGUCUUUAGAAGUUGACCUUCUUUAGAGUCUAAGUCUUCAGAGUCUGGUCCUGAUCUUUUAGAUUCAGGAUCUUUUAGCUUAUCCUUAAAUGUUCUUUUUAGUACCAGAACUGACUUUAUAUCAUAAUUUUUAGUCUAUGGUCCUGCGCACUUGAAUAUAUGUUAGUAUACCUAAUUGUUCUUUACAUACCUUGUUAUCAUCAAAACCUUAGAGAUAUGGUACAAACCAAUUUUGAUCCAACAUCUCCAAUAUCACAUAAUCGAUCAUCAAUAUCUUCAUUAACUUCGUGUCUUUCUGACAUCGCAUUUUGAAUUUUAUUCACUUCACCAUGCCACAUCCAUAGUGUAUAAUUUUUACAAGUUCCAUCAUAACAUAUGUGAUAGAAUAUUUAUUUCUUCGGAUUUUUUUAUAUUCCCGCAUACAACACAAGGACAAUAAAAGAAUCCAUUAUUGCUGUGAAGAUUUUGUUCUGCGUAUUCAACCUUUCUCAUGCACUGGACCUAAUUUAUCACCUUUAAUCCAACUACAGUCUAUAAUAAAUAAUGAAAUUUAAACCAAAAGCUUGUAGUAUCAUUUAACAAUACAACAACAUGAUAAGUUAUAAAACAAUCUUCAUCUUCAUAUCAUUCAAGCACAACAAUAUAUAACAUUCCCAACAACAUAAAAAUAAUCUUCAUAUUACUCAAUCAUAAUAACACAAAUGACACACUAAUGUUACACACAAUAUACUAACAUUUACAUAAUAUUCUCACAUACUAAUAUGUUGCAUACACAUAUAUACAACAACACUCUCACAUAUAUACAACCUACACUCAAACAACAUACUAGAGGUUCAUACGCACACUACAUAUGAAUAUGGUUCAAUCAAAACAAUAUAACAUUUAACAACACCCAAACCUAAAACAUGAGUGAUGAUAAAGGUGAAGAAAUAUAUAAAGUACCAUAAAUUGAAGAAGAAGUUGACCAAGAAACAUCUUUCAUGUAUGCUCGUGCUCGCUUUCGUCGAAUAUGAAGAAAUAGAUAAAGUAAACCAUGAUCAUGUAAGUUGAAGAAGAGGAUGUUCCAAGUAAUGAACGAGAGGUAAGAAGGUGAAAUAAAUAAACUAAAUAUGUUUUUCUAUCACUUUCGUCUGUUCUUUGAUAGGACACUUGUGUUCUGAAGGAAAUAAACUAAAUAUGAUAUCUUUUAAUUAUAAUGAAACACAUUUCACCAUGGUAGAUAACACCAACCAUAGUGAAACAUAUUAACUUUAGGUGGCAC